rnacentral:tRNA from 1 species
CGGAACAUAGUUCAGCUUGGUAGAAUACCUGUUUUGGGAACAGGGGGUCGUAGGUUCAAAUCCUGCUGUUCCGA